AUUGAACGCUGGCGGCAUGCCUUACACAUGCAAGUCGAACGGUAACGGGUCCUUCGGGAUGCCGACGAGUGGCGAACGGGUGAGUAAUAUAUCGGAACGUGCCCAGUAGUGGGGGAUAACUGCUCGAAAGAGCAGCUAAUACCGCAUACGACCUGAGGGUGAAAGGGGGGGAUCGCAAGACCUCUCGCUAUUGGAGCGGCCGAUAUCAGAUUAGCUAGUUGGUGGGGUAAAGGCCUACCAAGGCAACGAUCUGUAGUUGGGCUGAGAGGACGACCAUCCAGACGUGGGCUGAGACACGGCCCAGACUCCUACGUGAGGCAGCAGUGGGGAAUUUUGGACAAUGGGGCAAGCCUGUUCCAGCAAUGCCGCGUGCAGGAAGAAGGCCUUCGGGUUGUAAACUGCUUUUGUCAGGGAAGAAAUCUUCUGGGCUAAUACCCCGGGAGGAUGACGGUACCUGAAGAAUAAGCACCGGCUAACUACGUGCCAGCAGCCGCGGUAAUAC
rnacentral:rRNA from 1 species